GCCGCUUGCCGCACCCCCGAGCCUGAGCCCGUCUACCUCGUGGCUGCCUGAGGCCCGGGGUGGUUAUGAAGAUAAAAUGCAAUAAAUGUGUGUGAGGGCAACUGACGAGCCAGGAAGCCUUGGCAUCCAGAGUUAUUACUGGGACGUCAUGGGAAAUGAGGAUAUGGGAACAGAGUAUUUAUGCAUUUAUUCAAACUCAUCUCUAACAACCGUGCUUUGAAGGCUGGCUGCAUCCCAGGCCCUACAGAUCUAGGCUGGCUGGGGCGGUGGCUCAUGCCUGUAAUCCCAGCACUUUGAGAGGCCGAGACCGGUGGAUCACGAGAUCAUCAGGAGAUGAGACCAUCCUGGCUAACAUGUUAGCCUGGCCUCCAGAGCUCUUGGACUGCAGCACCCAUAAUGAUGGCCAAAGCCGCCCCCACGGCGACUCCUCCUGCUGAAGCAAAGUCAGGCAGAACAAUAAGAUGAGCAUGGUGGUGCAGGCCUGUAAUCUCAGCUCCUCAGGCGGGAGGAUCACUUGAUCCCCGGAAGUUUGAAGCUGGACUGCGCUGACCGCACCUGUGAAUACCACUGCCCGUCAAUCAGCCUAGGGGAAACAUUCUCGAGUGCGAGCAUGACGGCUUAGGUUGAUGUUUUUCAAAUUUUCCCAAUGAUGAGUAUUGUAAGGGACCAAAAUAAAAAAAUGCCAAUGCCUAGUCCCCUCUCAUCUAGAAUAAUUCCAUAGGUGAUGAUGGGGUCCAGGACUCUGAAUUUCGUCAAUUUUACCAAAUACUUCGUCCAGUGAGGCAAAUAUGGAAACACUUGGAUCACCUCUUCGUGAACGCACAUCAGCGCAUACGCCGGCUGUUUUUAUCAGGCGCUCACCCCUCAUCCAAUGGCGUGACUAGUUGUGGGUGGAGCCCGAAAUCUGGCUGCCUAGAGAAGGCUGAAGGUCCAGUUAUAGCAUAACUAAUGUUUCCCCAGAGCUCACAUACGUGCCAAGCACCGUGCUACAGCCUCCACAGCCCCUUCAUUUAAUCUUCCCGAUGGGCCUAUGAAAUAGGUGCUCCUGGCCCGCACCGUGGCUCAUGCCUCUAAUCCCAGCACUUUGGGAAGCUGAGGAGGGAGGGUCGCUUGAGUCCAGGAUUUCAAGACCAGCCUGGGAAACACACAGAGAGCCUAUCUCUACGAAAAUUUAAAAAAUUAGCCGGGUGUGGUGAUGCCUGACUGUGGUCCCACCUACUUAGUAGGCUAAGGUGGGAGGAUCCUCUGAGCCCGGGAAGCUGAGGCUGCAGUUAGCACUGCACUCCAGCAUGGGCGACAGAGUGAGACCCUGACUCAAAAAAAAAAAAAAAAAAGAAUAGGUGCUACUUGUAGUUCCCAUUUUACCCACCAAGAAACUGAAGAUCUGAGAGACAAAGCCUACAGGGUGACCGCUAGUCACUGGUAGGGCUGGGAUUUGAACAGGGGCGGUUUAACAACUGAUCUCUCGACCAUAAUGCGUGUUGCCCAAGAAAAAAGACCGUCCUCACGGUCCUAUCCACUCCGGACUUUGCAAUUCCGUUAUUUCGUAAAUUGAGGCCUAUAAAUAGUUUGCUUACCCGUUGUCUUAGUCCCCAGUAACAUGCAGAACUAAAGAAGAAACUGAAGGAGCACCGAUUUUGUUCACCUUGCUUUUUGGUUUAGUUCUGGAGGAGAACACAGGUGCACUUAGAACAGGAUCCACACUUACCAGAGGCUUGAUUCAUUUUAGCUGCAAAGAAAACCAGUCCUCGUCUAC
rnacentral:lncRNA from 1 species